AGUCAUCAACCCCUCGCGCUUUUGCGUGAGCGGGCUGGAGUUUGAGGGCUUGCUGCCGAAGGGCGGCUCCCUCCAAAUGCUUCGGUUGGGCCUGCGGGUCGAACUCGACUGGGCGUUGUACCAUCCUCGCUCGACCGAGACGUUCCCCUUCCGCGCCCCGCCUCGACCGCCUGUGGAGCGGCGGUCAAAAACGAGCCUUUGAAAU
rnacentral:misc_RNA from 1 species